rnacentral:rRNA from 1 species
UCUAGUAGCUGGUUCCCUCCGAAGUUUCCCACAGGAUAGCUUGAACGCCGACGGUUUUGUCAGGUAAAGCGAAUGAUUAGAGGCCUUGGGGCUGAAACAGCCUUAACCUAUUCUCAAACUUUAAAUGGGCAAGAGGCGCGGGAUGCUUGAGUGAUCCCGCGCGGCGAACGGCGCGUUCAAAGUGGGCCAUUUUUGGUAAGCAGAACUGGCGAUGCGGGAUGAACCGAACGAGGGGUUACGGUGCCGGAGUACACGCUCAUCAGACACCACAAAAGGUGUUGGUUCAUCUAGACAGCAGGACGGUGGCCAUGG